rnacentral:rRNA from 1 species
UGAUUUCAAGUYUGACCUGCCCGCUGAGAGGUUGAAUGGCCGCGGUAUAUUGACCGUGCAAAGGUAGCAUAGUCAUUAGUUUUUUAAUUGAAAGCUUGUAUGAAGGGUUUGAUAAGAAAGAGUCUGUCUCUGGAUAAUUUUGUUAGAAUUUUAUUUUUAAGUUAAAAAGCUUAAAUUUUUAUAGAAGACGAGAAGACCCUGUAGAGUUUUAUAAGUAGAUAAAUAGUUGAUUGAUUAUUAGGGAUUGUUUUUAAAUUUGUAUGUACUUAUUUUUUUGGGGUGAAGGGAAAAUUUGAUUAACUUUUUUUUUAUUAAAAUAUUUAUUUGUAAGUUUAUGAUCCUUUAUUUAGAUUAGAAGAACAAACUACCUCAGGGAUAACAGCGUAAUUGUUUUUAGAGUUCUUAUCGAAAAAAUAGAUUGCGACCUCGAUGUUGGAUUAAAAUUAAUUACUGGUGUAGCAGCUAGUA